GCGCGUGAUAUCGAGUGACCGCAGCUGCCAGAGUCGUCUGGGUGGUGCGAGGGGGGAGGGAUUUCCUCGGAAUGUUACUCAUUUUGUUCACAGAUUGUGCGUUAUAGUACGCAGCUUUAAAAUGGGCUUUUUUGCCUUUCUGAAGUCCAAACUUGGCAACAACCCAAGUCGCAAGUUGCGCAUUCUUCUACUGGGAUUGGAUAAUGCUGGAAAGACGACCCUUUUACGAGGCAUGGCCAAGGAAGACAUCAGUCACACGACACCCACGUUGGGAUUCAACAUAAAAACGGUCACGACGCAGGGAGUGCACCUGAAUGUGUGGGAUAUUGGAGGACAGAAAACAAUCCGUCCAUACUGGAAACAGUACUAUGAGAAAACAGACGUUCUCAUCUAUGUGAUAGACAGUGCAGAUAGCACGCGCUUGGAAGAAACUGGAGAGGAGCUAAGCCAGCUACUGGAAGAAGAGAAACUCUCUGGCGUUCCGCUGCUGGUUUUUGCUAAUAAGCAGGACUUGAUCAGUGCUGCGACAGCCGCUGAUAUCGCAGAGGGCUUGAAUCUACAUACCAUCAGGGACCGAGCGUGGCAAAUCUGCGCCUGCUCAGCAAUGACUGGGGAGGGUGUAGAGGAGGGCAUGGAUUGGAUAGUGCACACUGUCAAAUCUAGAUAGCACCCAACACAUCCCUAUGUACACUGCAGGACAUGCGAUGCAAUGAAAUCGAGACCUGAAAUCUGCAGGAUACCAUUGUCAAUGGACCCUCAAUCAGAUCAAGACUUUGGGUCAUGUGACCAUGUGGUGAAACUCAGGCCGCAUCCAUAUCUCUAGUUUUAGAGCUAAUGGCUAGGUCUUCGCCCCUUACCACUACGUGGGAACAAGCUGACAAUAGACAAAGCUGUAGUUAUGGAAGCGCAUUUAGGAACUGUAAGAAAUUUACACAAACCAAAGGUACAUGUAGGCUGGGCAUGGCCCAAUCAGGAAUGGUCCAUUGGUCUCGCCAUUCCGACUCUACAAUUUUAACUCCUUCACAUGUGGUCUGUCCUACAUGGAAAGUGUGAGAAUGCUGUGUAUGAUUUUGAAUUUUUUGCAUCAGAAGGCAAAGAUGGACCAAAAUUUGGAUCCCUAAAAAAGCCUCACAAGUGGCUUUUACGUGGUGAACUAGGUAUUGGUAUGUAGUUUCACCAUGAUUAAAGUCAAUUUGAGAUCAAAGUUGUCUUUGAAAAAAUGUAUUUAUUUAAAAAAAGAAUAAAUUUGAAGUGGGUGAGAUUCCUAAAAUAGGUAGGUCCAUAUCCAUACCGUCUUUGAGUCUUGCUGGAUUGCAAACAUGUUUCUAGAUU
rnacentral:misc_RNA from 1 species